UGGGUUGUGGCUCAGUGGUAGAGCAUUUGAUUAGCAUGUGUGAGGCCCUGGGUUCAAACCUCAGCACCACAU
rnacentral:tRNA from 1 species